rnacentral:RNase_P_RNA from 1 species
GAAGCUGACCAGACAGUCGCCGCUUCGUCGUCGUCCUCUUCGGGGGAGACGGGCGGAGGGGAGGAAAGUCCGGGCUCCAUAGGGCAGGGUGCCAGGUAACGCCUGGGGGGCGCAAGCCCACGACCAGUGCAACAGAGAGCAAACCGCCGAUGGCCCACGCAAGUGGGAUCAGGUAAGGGUGAAAGGGUGCGGUAAGAGCGCACCGCGCGUCUGGUAACAGUUCGCGGCACGGUAAACUCCACCCGGAGCAAGGCCAAAUAGGGGUUCAUAAGGUACGGCCCGUACUGAACCCGGGUAGGCUGCUUGAGCCAGUGAGCGAUUGGCUUAACGGUCAGCUUCCUCAUUCAAAGAAAACCCUCGUCAGAAAUGGCGGGGGUUUUUGUUUUCGGCUAAAGGUUGAAACACAGGGCAGAUGAAUGCCAGUCCACGACGCUAUACCCCAAAAGAAAGCGGCUUAACGGUCAGCUUCAACU